CGGGGACGACCGGCACGGCGACCGGGCCUGGUUUGGGACCAGGACGCAGCGCGUUCGACUCGCGCGUCUCCGAC
rnacentral:tRNA from 1 species